CUUGCUUCUCUUGAGAGCGGCGGACGGGUGAGUAAUGCCUAGGAAUCUGCCUGGUAGUGGGGGAUAACGUCCGGAAACGGACGCUAAUACCGCAUACGUCCUACGGGAGAAAGCAGGGGACCUUCGGGCCUUGCGCUAUCAGAUGAGCCUAGGUCGGAUUAGCUAGUUGGUGGGGUAAUGGCUCACCAAGGCGACGAUCCGUAACUGGUCUGAGAGGAUGAUCAGUCACACUGGAACUGAGACACGGUCCAGACUCCUACGGGAGGCAGCAGUGGGGAAUAUUGGACAAUGGGCGAAAGCCUGAUCCAGCCAUGCCGCGUGUGUGAAGAAGGUCUUCGGAUUGUAAAGCACUUUAAGUUGGGAGGAAGGGCAGUAAAUUAAUACUUUGCUGUUUUGACGUUACCGACAGAAUAAGCACCGGCUAACUCUGUGCCAGCAGCCGCGGUAAUACAGAGGGUGCAAGCGUUAAUCGGAAUUACUGGGCGUAAAGCGCGCGUAGGUGGUUCGUUAAGUUGGAUGUGAAAUCCCCGGGCUCAACCUGGGAACUGCAUUCAAAACUGACGAGCUAGAGUAUGGUAGAGGGUGGUGGAAUUUCCUGUGUAGCGGUGAAAUGCGUAGAUAUAGGAAGGAACACCAGUGGCGAAGGCGACCACCUGGACUGAUACUGACACUGAGGUGCGAAAGCGUGGGGAGCAAACAGGAUUAGAUACCCUGGGUAGUCCACGCCGUAAACGAUGUCAACUAGCCGUUGGGGAGCCUUGAGCUCUUAGUGGCGCAGCUAACGCAUU
rnacentral:rRNA from 1 species